UGUUGGGCACAGGGCCGUAGGCUGUGCUCCACCACUGAGCAGGGCGGGCCCGAGUCCUGAGAGCCGCCACCAUUCACCUCCCGCGCCCAGCACUGGAAAUGGAAGAUUUCCUCUAAUUCUGACUACCUCGCAAUCCUUCCUGGCCGCUUUUUGUUCUCUGUUUCGACCCGGGGAUAGGGUCUGCUUGACCGACAUCAAUGCCCUUCCCUUCCUCUGGCCUGUGCUCAGAAUUCAAUAGCAGGUGGAGGAGCACCUGGCUGUGCCCUUUAGCCUGGGGUCCCAGGGGAAAGGGCCUCACGUUUUCGCUCAGCAGGAAGACUCCAGAAAUAGCAACCACGGUUUGCUUUGGGGGAUUUUAUAAUACAGGUUUCCUUCCCCCUCAAAAAAGUGAAGGAGUACUUUCACAUUAAAAUACAUUAUAUUUUCUAGGCAAGAGCUAUCCUGCCUUCCCAGCAGCAGUUUUCAAACAUUUGAGAGAUGUUAGCUGUUCGUCACAGUGAUGACAUCCUGUAACAUUUUGUGGACUUCUGGCUCAUCUGUUUUUGCUGCAAUGGAAUCCUUGUGACUGAAGCAGUCAAUGAAUGUCAUAGGAGGGACAGGGUUAGCCAGCAUCCAGUGACUGAUCAAUCGAGGGUAUGAAGGCCAUCUGGAAGACUCUGAGGGGCCAUCCCAGCUUCAGGGUUCCUCAGAGGGUUGACUGAGGUCUUUGUUGGGAUCAAUCACAGAUCAACUUCUGCCUCUGCCCAAUUCUGCUUCCUCCUCCUCCCCUACAAGAGCGCUUUGUAGUAAACAUCCUGUGAACUAGCCUUCGCUCAGAAUCUGCUUCCAGAAAAACCAACCUGCCACAGCUAUGAGUGGGCAAAAUUCAAAGAGUACAAAGCAGUAUGCAAAGGAAUAUACGCAUACCAACAUCUCUGGAUGCUUCCAGAGAUGGUCUUAUGUGCAUGAAUGCCAUGAAAGUACAUAUGUACAUGUCUGCAUAUUUUAGCCAUUUUCUUAUAAA